GCCUCUUCGCUCGACUACAAUCAUUCUGAUAAACUAUAACCAACAAUUAAGUAUGGCUUCAGACGAGUGAUUAUUUGGGCUUCUUCUAUUAUUAAAUAAAGCCCACAAGUAUCAGCUUUCUCUUCAAUAAUCGAUCAAAAGAGAACUCUGUUCAGAGCCGCCGUCAAAGUACACCUCUUCUUUAUACAACCGCCUAUGACGAUCCGUAAACAUGUGACAGCUAACGUCUGCUUAUUGUCGAUUGGAGUUCUUCUUAGGUUUCAAAAACUGGCACCAUUACGGAAGUCGAGUGCAUUUAAUCAUCAUCUUUAACGCUUUAAUUAAUUCCAUCUCCCCACUCUUCAUACGAUCUCUCAUACAGUCCAUUCUCUUUUGUCUUCCAUUGUGUGAAUCUGCAGCUAUAAAUAUUUAGUAACCUAUUUGGAUACACUUGGUGAGGAGGGAAGCAAAUCCAGAGGUAACAUGUGCUGGAAAGAGAACCGAGAAGUCUACGGUAUCAGUAAAAUGUAUAUGCUUAAUCUUCAACCAUAUUGUGUUCAUCAUGUAAGCAUAAUCACUCAAAUCUCUUUUGAUUGAUCAGUAAAGGCAUUUAGUAACCUAUGAAUCUAAAGUUAUGAUUUUUUGACACAGGAGAGUUGUGUAGAUUUGAAAACUUGGAAAACUCUUUUUGUGACAUUUUAAAUGAUAUUGGGUUGACUUUUGUAUGGUAGAA